rnacentral:rRNA from 1 species
CCUACGGGUGGCUGCAGUAGGGAAUAUUGCUCAAUGGGGGAAACCCUGAAGCAGCAACGCCGCGUGGAGGAUGAAGGUUUUCGGAUUGUAAACUCCUUUUGUUAGAGAAGAUAAUGACGGUAUCUAACGAAUAAGCACCGGCUAACUCCGUGCCCGCAGCCGCGGUAAUACGGAGGGUGCAAGCGUUACUCGGAAUCACUUGGCGUAAAGAGCGCGUAGGCGGGAUAGCAAGUCAGAUGUGAAAUACUAUGGCUUAACCAUAGAACUUCCUUUGAAACGGUUAUUCUAGAGGAUGGGAGAGGUAGGUGGAAUUAUUGGUGGAGGGGGAAAAGACGUAGAGAGAAAGAGGAAGACUCAUUGCGAAGGCGAACUGAUAGAACAUAACUGAAGCUGAUGCGCGAAAGCGUGGGGAGAAAACAGGAGUAGAGACCCUAGUAGUC